AUUGAACGCUGGCGGCAUGCCUUACACAUGCAAGUCGAACGGUAACGCGCCUUCGGGUGCCGUCGAGUGGCGAACGGGCGAGUAAUACAUCGGAACGUGCCCGACCGCGGGGGAUAACGAGGCGAAAGCUUUGCUAAUACCGCAUACGCUCUACGGAUGUAAGCAGGGGACCGCAAGGUCUCGCGCGGUCGGGGCGGCCGAUGGCGGAUUAGCUAGUUGGUGGGGUAAAGGCGUACCAAGCCGACGAUCUGUAGCUGGUCUGAGAGGAUGAUCAGCCACACUGGAACUGAGACACGGCCCAGACUCCUACGGGAGGCAGCAGUGGGGAAUUUUGGACAAUGGGCGCAAGCCUGAUCCAGCCAUGCCGCGUGGAGGAUGAAGGCCUUCGGGUUGUAAACUGCUUUUGUACGGAACGAAAAGCCUUCUUUUAAUACAGGAGGAUCAUGACGGUACCGAAAGAAUAAGCACCGGCUAACUACGUG
rnacentral:rRNA from 1 species